ensembl:antisense 9930004E17Rik RIKEN cDNA 9930004E17 gene
GGAUUGCAACGUCCGCUCUGCACAGUUGGCGGACCUGUUCCCUGGUCUUUCGAGGUGUGGCGGGUCGAGUGAAGCUAAGCACGACAAGUGUGGAGCUUGUGGUAGCUAAGGAGCUCCGAGCCGCCCGCCGGCUUCUUCCACCAGCUUGUGAGCUCUGAGGAUACAAAACACAAGAUGCAUAAUGUACUUGAGCCUCGCGCUUUUGUUGUUGUUAGGUUUUGAGGUAGGUUUCCUAUCCGCCUUGGAACCCAGGAAGACUGAGUCAAAGCUACACAGCAUAGUAAAUGAUAGAAAAAGUACAGACAUGUUUUCGAAAGCUGUUAGUGGUUUAAGUAGUAAAGAGCUUGGAAGACCUUGUCUUUGUAGGGUUGAAAGGUUUAGCAAAUAAAAUUAUAGGACUCAGGUAAAACUUUAAGAACUCUUUAAACGAAGACGCUAAACCCCUCCCCAUUUUACUUAAUUUGAAGAUUAAAUUUCGCCGAGAGUUUUAUUUCUUAA